AUCUGGCUGGGUAUUCAGAUGGGUCUGUUCGGAUAUGGGAUGCUACUUUGCCAGUCUUAAGUUGUCUUUUGGAAGGCCAGGUGCAAGGUAUUAAAGUGGCCGGUUCAAGUGCUCCUGUUUCAGAAUUGGAUUUUUGCUAUCUCACUUUUAGUUUGGCUUUAGGCAAUGAAUGUGGACUGGUUUGUAUUUAUGAUCUCAAAGGCC